CAAAAAUUUUUGCAAUUUAUAAGUUAUAUGUUCCAGGAUUCUUUUGGGAGACUGGACUCCCAAUAGGAUCACAGGAGGUAAUGUAUAGUUAGAAAUUCUUUAGUCCCUAAAACUAUAUUACACAAAAUUCCUUUCUGUAUUACCUAGAAACCUUUUCCCUUUGUACACAUUUGCAUCUUCACAUAUUGGUUAUAAGUUCUGUAGCUCCUCCCUCUCACUCUCUUCUUUCACGAGCAGGCAGGGUGGUUUAGGUAGCUUUUACUCUAGUAUUUAUUAAUAAACUUUAUAAAAAUAUAAUACUUAAUUAUUGAAUAAUUUUUCUGUAAACAAAGAUAUUCAUGUCUGGAUAUUCUCUAAAGACAUUCACUUAACCCUAUCAUCAUCCAAGCUAUUGUACUAUAUUUUUUCCAUAUUUCUCCACUAAUCUAAAAAUUCCUGACUAUAAUAGGUGCUUCUAUUUUAUCUCCUUUUCUAGUACCUCCCUUUAGACCAUGAUGAAUACAAAGUCAAGAGCCUUGGAAAGAGGAGUAUCCCUCUUUCCUUCCCAAAAAACACAACUCUGCUCCUGAUUUGGCCCUCCCAGCUUUAUGAAGGGGAUGGAGAAGGGGUUGAUAUUUCUCAUCAUCACUAUCACCAACUACUGACUAAUUUUCAACAACUGAGGAAAUCCUUCAGUGGAGGAAUGGCGAGAAAAUACCGGCUAUUUCCAGAAGGUGAGAACUUUGGCUUUCCAAAAUGGGCCCCCAUCACCUAUCUCUUGUUUAGUGGUUCUCAUACAUCUGAUCCCAGUCUGGUGAUUUUCAGCCUGACACAGAAUAGUGUAGAGGCCUUGGUUUCAAUCCUGCCUCUGACUUGGGUCAUGUUCCCUUAACCUCCACCAAGGAUCUUGAUUUUCUCA
rnacentral:lncRNA from 1 species